AUGACUUCUUUUUUUAUAAUCAACCUGUAUUAUGUCUUGCUUAUAUUAAGUAGAUUUAUUGGAAUUAAAAGAUGCAGGAAAUUAGAAGAUUUUAAUUUAUCUCUAGUAUUUAAAAAAUAUACGCAAUGAGUAUAAAAGAAAUAAAAGUGGAGAAAAGAUAAUACUAGACUUAACCUAAUAAUUUGAUUUUUUUGGACCCUGAUCUAAACGCCUUUUAUUAUUAUUAUUACUAGUAGAUGUGUGUGAACAAUUUCAUUUCGUUUUGUUUUUUAUUAUGAAGUGGGAUUAGUUUUUAAGAUUCUUAAAAAGAAAAAUCAGUUAUGAAAAUUGGGAUAAUGUUGCAAAAAAAGAAGGGAUAAUGAUGAGUGGUUUCUUUUAACGUGGGAAUAUAUUUUAUUUUUUAUUUUAUUUUAUUUUUAAUUUUUAAUAGGGCAUGUUAUACUAACCUGGCUGUGAGGUUGUUGUAAAAAACAACAAAAUUUAUAUUCAUGUAAUUACUAAACUGCCUAUAUUUUUUUAUUUGAGUUCAGUUUGGUGAGGGGAUUAAAAUGAUAAUUUCCUAGAGUUUUGGUUGACAACCAAAGUUUUAUGAAUAGUUAGUUUAGAUUAUUUAGUAGAGCGAUAAAGUUAGUAUGUUAAAUAAUUAGUUUGUUAGAAGGGAGGAAAAUCGGUGAGAAUUGAAUCACACUGUGAUGUAUAGGCAUACUUGAUUUCCACUAUUGUGCUAAAAUGUCAUCUGCAUGUAUGAUCGUUAUUUGAUGAGAAAAUAUCUAUAUGGGUGAAUUUUUAAACGGUUUUAAGGAAGAAAACGAGAAAUUUUUUCUGUUAACAAGGCUGAAAAGCCAACAAAUGGGUAUGGAAACUUAGAUUCAAACAGCAUGGGACUAGCAACCCACUAUAUAUUCUCGAAAACUAGUUUGCCAUUAAAAUUAAUCACAUUGCUGAAGACGAAAAGGUGGUCAACAAUCUUGUUAGUAUUGUCUAUGUGAAUUAACAUUAUUAGCCACUUAGUACUAUGAUCUAAUGAUAUACAUUUUCACUUGUAAAUUAGAUUCGAUUCUUGCUAGAGACGAAUUUGAACCACAUUAUUAGUAGCACAUUGUGAGGUUAAGCACAUCCCUAAUCCUUAGUGUAAAUAAUAUUGUUCGUUAAAAAUAUAUAUAUAUAUAUAUAUAUAUAUAUGUAUAAGGUU
rnacentral:sRNA from 1 species